CCUACGGGUGGCAGCAGUGGGGAAUAUUGGGCAAUGGAGGAAAGUCUGACCCAGCAAUGCCGCGUGAAUGAAGAAGGUCUUCGGGUUGUAAAGUUCUUUAGUCAGGGAAGAAGAAAGUGACGGUACCUGAGGAAUAAGCUACGGCUAACUACGUGCCAGCAGCCGCGGUAAUACGUAGGGGGCAAGCGUUAUGCGGAUUGACUGGGCGUAAAGGGAGCGUAGGCGGUGGUCUAGGUUAGACGUGAAGGACGCCGGCCUUACCGGGGUCGUGCUUCGGAAACCGUGCGACUUGAGUGCAGUAGAGGUCAGUGGACCUCCUUGUGUAGCGGUGGCAUGCGUAGAUAUUUGGAGGAACACCAGUGGCGAAGGCGGCUCUCUGGUCUGCAACUGACGCUGAGGCUCGA
rnacentral:rRNA from 1 species